UUGAGGAACCCCUCGAGGAGCUGACAGCCACAAACAAACGGGGCCCGUCCCGCAGCCGCUGCGCACAGCACCCAAGCAACACCUGGACCAGCUCAGCAGCCUCCCCAGAGCUCCAGAGUCCAGCCUGGCCUUUGCAACCUGGAGGACAGAAACCAGCCUAGACAGGUCUGGGGUGGAGCCCAGGAACCUGCCAUGGAACUAGCGCUCUGGCAGGGGAUUCUGAUGGGAGCAGUGGGCAGCGAGUGCCACCUGGCCAGAAUCUGUCUCCUGGGAAGAGCCGGCCUUGCAGUCCUGUCCCUGCGCCAUUUCAGUAGCUGCUCCACAGAUGGAAGCUGUAACCAGGAAGCAGGGCCCUCAGCCCGCCUUCUGUCUCCACCUGAGCAAGUGGAAGGAAAGAAGACCAGACCAGGGAAGUGACUAGAGCAAGGGCACCCUGGAACUCAAGGCUGCUACUGACUGAUCUGCGAGAUAAAGUUCAGACAAUGACUAAUCCCAGGGGUAUUUACUCCAGGAGUUGGCUCCCCUGACCCCAGUUUGGGAAGCCCUAAGGGGAGCCCCAGGCUGGGGCCUUCCUUGAUCUCUUAGCAGCCCAUCUGAUUGUGUGACAUAAAACUGAAGUCUCUAAAGCCCUGUGGUGUCCCAGCUCUGGUUUCAUCCAGUUUAUGGUCUGCAUUUGAUGGGGUUCCUUCUUUCCUCCUGGCUUUCUCUCUCUAUACACACACCCCAGCACUGAUUCCAUGCCUGUUCUCUGCCAGGCUCUGGGCAUCUAAUCUACCAUCCAUCUAUAUGUGUGUCUAUCCACAACAUGCACGCACACACACACACUGGAUGAACAAGACCCAGUUCCUUGUCCUUGCAAGCUCUCAGUCUAGUAGGGUAGACAGAAAGACAAGGGUCUGACAUGGCUCAGGGCUGUGCCAGCAGGGGGGUAAGAGGAGACUCGGUGGGCCCCAAGGUGCCACAUCCUCCUCUGUUGCUCUUGCUGCCCCUGGCUCUCUGGGUCUGCCAAUAGUUAUGUAGUGAUUUAGGUAUAAAAAGGCAUUAUGAAAACAUUAGAACAUAUAGAAAAACAUGGAGAAAAUGGAAGCAAUUUCCUCUCCCACCCAUUGCUACCAUUGUUAACAUUUUGGCACCUGCCGGUUCUGACAUCUUGGGGUGUUGAAUAUCCUUAGUAUCUCUCUUUCUCCUGGGGUUUCACAUCAUCUUUCUUGUUCUGGUGGAGCGCACCCUCAAGUCAAUUUUGAAAAAGCUAACUUAGCCGAAAAUCUGUGUGUUUAAAAAUGUCUCUAUUGUGGACCUCCCUGGUGGCACAAGGGGUUAAGAUGCAACCUAUGAAGCAAUCUGCAGCCACUGCAGCACGAGUUUGAUCCCCGGCCAGGGAGCUACCCACAUGGCGCAGCAGACCUCUCCUGA